AAUAGUUAAAUAAAGAAGUGGAAUUAUAAUGGGUCUUUUAACAUUCACUUAAUUUGUGUUGUUAAACCAUCUUUCAGUACAGACAAGAUAAUCCAUUCAUAGGAGUAGAUCAAUAUUUUAUCCCUACUUAGCUAUCAGAUAUUGCAGUCACAGACUUAGAGUACAUUUCUGCAAAUCUCCAUUUGAAAGUAUAUUAAUAAAUCUGAAGAAAAAUAUAGUUUCUUUUCCUGUAAAAUAACUUAUUAACUUGCACUGUGGAAUCUGAAAUGUGAUUUAAAUAAUAAAUACCAGCUACUAAGCUGCCCAUCAUAAAAGCCUAAGAAAUAUCCAUUCUUUCUCUUUUUGCCAGUAUACAGAAGGCUGAUAAGGCCACAAAGAAAAGUGAGAAUCAUUUCACCUAUAGAAUAAUUUACUGCAUUUGCCUUUGCAUAAACAUCACUGGAAUGUAUAUAUGUAUUCACCUCCUAUAACUAAUUCACAACUUCAAAACCAUUAGGAAAAAUAUAAUAAUAUCAAGAUGCUGGGGGGAGAUGAAAAACACACACAACAGAACAAGAAAUUAAGUAAAAAAUAAUGAGUGAUUGUGGGUUCAAGGGGACUUUGAAAGCUGAAAACCAAAAUGUUUUUGAAUUAAUAUGCAGGAAAGUGCUAAGAAACAGAUUUUUUUUUUCUUCUUACAGAAAUUGCACCACUUUUAAAAUCCUUGAUUUGAAAAAAUGACCUUUCAUAAUCAUUCUGCUUUAACACUCAUGUGGAAGAAGAUAGAAGAUGUAAAUUUCUGGAGAAGGGAGAAAUCCUAACACCAUACGUGGCCAAGACCCUAAUAAAGAAAUCAAAUUGAUUGAAGAAUAGACAUAACAUUACUUCUAAACUAAAUCAGAUCUUUCUAUUUUUAUAUAUUAUUGUAGAAUUCAACAGUUUCUAAGAUAGUACGGUUUAUCAUUCAAAGCUAGGAAUAUAUUUAACUUCUUUGUGCUAAAAUAAAUAUAGAACUGUAAAGUCAAACAGGCUAUGUGAAGGCUGCAAUAAAUUAUUUGCCAUGCUCUGUAGGUACCAAGAGGUAUACUACAUUAAUUAACAUAACAUAAACAUUACCGUUGUGUUUGUUAAUAAUGCUUAUUAAUGAAAAAAUCUGGAAUUACUCUUAAUAAUUUGACCUAUAAGGGAGAUAAAAACAUAGAGCUUGAUGAAGCACCUUGGCAUUUAAAGUGAUGAUUAAGAUGAAGCACAUUUGAUGUUUUUCUUUGAAGCAAAUGUAUAACCAUUUCACUUUAAGUGAAAUUAUAUCAAAUCACAAAGGUAAUCUCAGAAUAUAAAAGAUUUGUCAUACUAUAUAGUUAGUUUUGUCCCAGCACAGGUAUGGAAAUAUUUUGAACCAAAUUACACUCUAAUUUUAAUGAGAUUGUGUGAGAAUAAUCUAACAAAAUUUUUCUUCAAUAUCAAAUAUUCUUAAAUUGCUUCUUGUCCUAAUCUGUUUUAGAAGUGUAUAUUUGUAUUUUCUGAAUGGAUUCCCUGCUGUGUCUCCCCCAAAUGACUAUAUUUCAGAGACAGUUAAUUUGCAUGCAUGAAUUAGUGUGCCUAUACGAAUUACUCACUAUCGCACAUUUGCUAGUUCAGAACUGUCCAAAUUUAAGCUCUGAAUCUAAUCUGACACUCAUUGGCACCUGGACAACCAUAUUCAAGCACAUGUAUUAUGAUAACACCCAAUUUGGCUUUAACUUUGCAUAUCUGCUCAUGUAAAUUCCCUCCUAUGGAUCAGAUUCUGUGAACACAGAAUGAAAGAGCACAACGGGGAUAUUUCUUUGCUACCAUAAUACAGGACUGUGCAUAUAGAUUAUUAAAACAAAAUGCAGGAUAGAUUAUUUGCUUAGCUUUACUUGCUAAUGUACAAUAUAUUUUCCCAUCUCCUCCCAUUUAGUGAAAUUACUCCAAAAGAAAAAUAUCCCUUUUUAUUGAAGUAUACUGGAUUAAAGUGAAUUAUUAAAAUGCAUAAAACAAGACAGUAAUGUAUAAUGUGGUUUGUGACAAAAUGUACUGUAACCUUAACUGUAAUUAUAUCAAAUAUAUUGAUUUAAAUUUCAUAAUCAAAUUGUGUAGGUAACGAUCCAUAUCUUCGGUAAUUGAGUUGUGUGUGCAAAUGUAAUUACAGUAAUGGUAUAAAAAUUUGAUGAUGCCAUCUAGAUUAGAUUGAACUUUGGGUGUACUUUAAAGAAUAUGCAGGGAUUCAUAAAAAAUCAGUUUACGUGGAACUAUAUCAUAACAUAGGACUGAUGUGCUCCUGAGAAGAGAGCUUAAUCCCUGCUAAAAUAUGUCAGAAAAAGUUUCCAACAGAGAAACAUCUUGAAGUUUUAUGUUCCUAUUAAAAUAUAGUAUGCAGUCGAUGCAUGUCUUUUUGGAAUACAUCAAGUCUGCUUUGCAUAGAUGCAAUAUUAAGUUGUUUCUGGGUGGACUUUUGAGUCUUGCAAUGUUUUUUAGAGAUGCCAAGAGGUUCAGUGUUUAAAAAUAUUCUAAACUUUUAAAACAAUGACCAGUAAGAUCAUAUUUUGCAGGAUAUCUGGGGAUGCAUUUAAUUAUUCUGCACAACUUCUUAAGGAAGAAAGGAAAAGAAAGAAAAAGAAAGGUACUCCUUGACACAGUAGCAAGUUGUCAGCUAUCUGAAAUGAUAUACAGAGUUCAAUAUCAAAUUCUUUCUUCUGAUUGCUGUUGUAAUGGUAAGAACUGCCUUAUUACCUAAUAAUUGUAGUCACACAUCUUUGCUUCAAAUUGAAAGAUAGAAGUUCUAAACAAAUUUUUAAGGAUAUGUAGAAAAAUAAAGGAAAAACAUAUAGAAAAAAAAUCCUCUUUCUUGUGAAAAAUCUUCCCUUAGCUGUUUUCAAAUCACACAGAAAUUACUAAUGUCAUAGAAUCAUAGAAUCACCAAGGUUGGAAAAGACCUCUAAGACUGUCCAGUCCAACUGUCCAUUUAUCACCAAUAUUUCCCAUUGAACUAUGAUCCUCACUACAAGACCUAAAGGUUUCUUGAACACCUCCAGUGUCAGUGACUCCACCACCACACCAGGCAGCCUAUUUCAGCACCUUACCACUCUCUCAGAGAAGAAUUAUUUCCUAACAUUCAAACUGAAUCUGCCCUGGCACAACUUGAGGCCAUUCCUUCUAUUCCUAUUGGUAGUUACAUGGGAGAAGAUGCCAACAACCAGCUCACCGCAACCUCCUUUCUGGUAGUUGUAGAGAACAAUAAUGUCACCCCUGAGCCUCCUCUUCUCCAGACUGAAUAUCAAGAGAUUCUAUAUGUAUUUUUAAAGAGCAGACUGUGGCUCAAAAAUUAAAUUUUUUAUGAAGGUACAUACCUACAUGCCUUUUCAUUUACUUAAUGGGAAUUGCCUGCAAGUGUAAGACAACAAAUAUUUAUUUUCUAAAAUAAAAAUAUCUCAACCAAAAAAUUCAACUGCAAUAGAAUUACGUUUACCGAAAAAGAAAAUCCAGAAGUAUGUGACAUUUGUGCCCUAUUUAUCUCUUAUUUUUCCAAUUGUGCAUGAUUCUCACAUUGAAAUCCUGUAUCACAUUUGCUGUUGGUAGAAUAAUGUAUUUAGCAGAAUUUUAGUUGCAGUCUUGAAAAUAUAAGUCUAGUUUAUCUCAAUACUUGAGAAUGUGAAUUAAAAGAAAUCUGCCAUACAGACUUUUAGAUUAAUCAAAAAUUUUUUUUAAGGAUUGGAGAUUCAGAAGAUGUAGACAAAAUUGGAAUACGUGCUCAGAUAGCAGCAUGUGGUUAUUGUAGGUUAAGCUAAUUAGUUUUCUUGUAUCAAGCAUAGGCACAGAAAUUGUAUGUUUUUGUCACAUCUGAUCAUGCAUAACAUUCAGAAAUGUCAAGGAUAACUAUUCAUUCGAAUUAAGGAAAAAAACAUAGAACAGAUCUCCACUUUGUAAGAUAAAGAAUGACUAUAUAUCAAUGGUAAGACACGAGGAAACAAGAAGAAAAGUAUUUAUUUUAUUUACUUAUUCGGAUUAUUUACUGAGAGAAGAUGUUUUGAGUAUAGGAGGCAGAGGAAUAUGAAUGCUUCAUUUUGUUUCCUUAUUAUCUUCUCUAGGUCAUAUCUGAAAGAAUGGUAAAUGAAGAAGUUUAAUAGAAAACUCACUGUUCCAUAAGGACAAAGUGUUACUUUUAUGAAAAAAGUUCAACGAUGAAAGCAAGCAAUGACCUUUUUCUGAAAGAGCAGUAGAAGGGAAAGUGACAAGGAACCACAUCACACAUUAUUAGUGUGCUGAAAACUGCAACCAUGUGUUACAAUGUUUUUUAAGCUUUUUUUUUUUUUUUUUAAGGUUCAAAUCAUGCCACACAACAAACCCCUAACAAUAAAUACUAAUACACUGUAAAUACAUUCCAUACAAAUUAAUGUCACACAGUUUAGUAUGGCAUUGCAGCAUAUCUACUCAAUUGCAAGAACAUGCUUUUACCACACAAAUCUACCUGUAAAAGGAGGGCAAAUUCUAUAAUAGUGAUAUAUCCUAUAAUAG
rnacentral:lncRNA from 1 species